rnacentral:rRNA from 1 species
AGUGAACGCUGGCGGCAGGCCUAACACAUGCAAGUCGAGCGGCAGCGGGUCCUUCGGGCUGCCGGCGAGCGGCGGACGGGUGAGGAAUGCGUCGGAAUCUGCCUUUUUGUGGGGGAUAACGUAGGGAAACUUACGCUAAUACCGCAUACGACCUACGGGUGAAAGUGGGGGACCGCAAGGCCUCACGCAGAAAGAUGAGCCGACGUCGGAUUAGCUAGUUGGCGGGGUAAAGGCCCACCAAGGCGACGAUCCGUAGCUGGCCUGAGAGGAUGAUCAGCCACACUGGAACUGAGACACGGUCCAGACUCCUACGGGAGGCAGCAGUGGGGAAUAUUGGACAAUGGGCGCAAGCCUGAUCCAGCCAUGCCGCGUGUGUGAAGAAGGCCUUCGGGUUGUAAAGCACUUUUGUCCGGAAAGAAAUCCUGUCGGCUAAUACCCGGCGGGGAUGACGGUACCGGAAGAAUAAGCACCGGCUAACUUCGUG